rnacentral:rRNA from 1 species
UUCGCCAGGGGACAACGAGCCCCAGCUUAAAACCCAAAGGACUUGGCGGUGCUUUAGACCCCCCUAGAGGAGCCUGUUCUAGAACCGAUAAUCCCCGUUCAACCUCACCCUCUCUUGUCUUUCCCGCCUAUAUACCGCCGUCGUCAGCUUACCCUGUGAAGGUCAAACAGUAAGCAAAAUUGGCACAGCCCAAAACGUCAGGUCGAGGUGUAGCGAACGAGAGGGGAAGAAAUGGGCUACAUUUACUGAACCAGUAUACACGGACAUUGUACGAAAAAGCAUUUAAAGGAGGAUUUAGCAGUAAGGGGAGAGUAGAGCGCCCCCCUGAAAACGGCCCUGAAGCGCGUACACACCGCCCGUCACUCUCCCCGAAAGCCUAUUUUACUUUAACUAAAAAGCUAGCCAAGAAAAGGGGAGGCAAGUCGUAACAUGGUAAGUGUACCGGAAGGUGCACUUGGAAAAACC